UACGGGGGGGGGUAAGCGUUGUUCGGAAUUACUGGGCGUAAAGGGCUCGUAGGCGGCCAACUAAGUCAGACGUGAAAUCCCUCAGCUUAACUGGGGAACUGCGUCUGAUACUGGAUGGCUUGGAUUUGGGAGAGGGAUGCGGAAUUCCAGGUGUAGCGGUGAAAUGCGUAGAUAUCUGGAGGAACACCGGUGGCGAAGGCGGCAUCCUGGACCAAUAUUGACGCUGAGGAGCGAAAGCCAGGGGA
rnacentral:rRNA from 1 species